AACAAAGAGAUUGUCGUGUUUUAAACCAAUUCGUUUUCUAAAAUCACUAUUGCCGGUGACGGCAGAUUCUUUAUCAGUUUUUGGUGCCAAACAUUUGUACGUCCCAACGGGGAUGUACAUAUGGUUUUCAGCAAAUUGGCAGAUCUACAAUCUGUGAGUUAUGCAAGGUUAAAAACACUGACCUUAUGAUUUCGAUUAGUCUUUGCAACGAAAUGCAUGAUAUCAUCAUUGGGUGAUACUACACAUGGGCAAUUCCAUUGUAACGGGUGUUACAUUUGUACUGAAAUAUACGAAUAUAUCCUCUGAACAAAUAUCUGAAAAAUUGUCACUUUAAAUGAUCUUUGUGCAGUUUUAUUUCCUUUAAGGAUCCUUCAACCUUGCCAGUAUUGAAAGUGAAACGGCCAUCAAAACUAACGUAACGGGCGUGGCCGUUAUAUUUUGCGAAAUUUGCAGGUCAUUCAUCAAUCUAUUGAUUGGCUAAUAAUGUGAACAUCAAAUGAUUGCAUGACCCUCCUGAUGUUUACAUAAGCUGUGUUCGGGAACUCAAAAAUCUGUGCAAAUUUGCAAAAUUUUUUACUGGAAGUCAUUCGCGUGCUUUAUUUGCCAGCAAAAGAGAGUGCGAGGGAGAGCAAAUAAAUUUUGACAGUUAGAAAAUAGAGAACCUGCAAAUUUCUCCUGGGACUUUUUUUGCCAGCAGAAAUUUGCAAUUUCGAACACAUGUUUUGUAAAGGUCAGCUGUUUUAUGAAAAACACCUGUUACAUAAAAAUAUAAAAGCUAACGCCAACCUUUUUGAUCUAAAAAGGCAGAUAUUCAUGGCAGCAGCUAGUGUUCAGGUACAGAAAACUUGACAAAUGAAGUUGUAAUUUUACCUCAAGUCGGGUAUUCUACAUUAGAAGACACCAGGAAAAGAGUAAUUAUCGGCUUCUUAAGUGUUUUGAUGGAAUCAUCCUCAUCGGAGAGACCUCAUCGAUGAAACCAACACAGUUCCUUUGAAUUUGUUAAGGAGGGAAGAUGCUGCCAUGGGAUUGAAUGGGUCUAGCUGGGCAGGUAAUCAAGUGACGCACAGUGCACAUUAGUCUGCCAAUUGUGA